UAAUGGGAUCAGGCCAAAAAAAAACGAUUAAGAGGUUUUUAUAUGCUGUAAGGUCCGGAGUUCUCCUGGCUUUGGAACCCUCUACCUCCCCCGUAACCGUGGGAUAUUCUUUUGAUGCCAAAGGAAAAGGCCACAGAUCUGUAGAUGGAUCAUAGGAUGGACUCAGGAUCCAGAUAAAAUUAUAAGACGGAAUCACUUCUCGGAUGGCCUUAUUCUGUCUCCCAGAUAUCUUGUCACUUGAAAGGACCUCUGACCUCGUCACCAUGGAGGAAGAAUAAGAAGAGGACAGGCAGGAUUACAUUCAGAGAAUUGUGUAGAGCUUCCAGAUCCUGAACUGUUCCUUGAAAAAAACAAACAAGCAAACAUUAAAACAACAACAGUAUUCUCCUAGUGAUUCUGUAUGACUAUGAGUCAUGGAGGAAGAGAAUCUUUGAAGGAUCAAAAUCGAGGGGGAACUAAAAAGCCAUGGAGAGACAUGUGGAGUCAUUCUACAGUAGAGCCUAUGAGAGAACAGAAGGCAAAUCCUUACAAAGAUGUGACGCUCUUCUUUUAUCCUCAGGAAAGGGUCUUCUCCACACUCUUCAAUGUAAGAAAGAACAUUAUUAAUCUCAUGAGCUGCACUGUACCUAUGCCAACUGACUUUCAAAUGUAAUUCAUAUUAGAAACUAGAAAGGGUAAUCAUAUUUAGAGGAUCUUUUAUGAAAAUGCUUCAGACAAAUUAAAAAUCUCUCAAGA